rnacentral:rRNA from 1 species
CCUGACGCAGCGACGCCGCGUGAAGGAAGAAGGUUUUCGGAUCGUAAACUUCUAUCCUUGGUGAAGAUAAUGACGGUAGCCAAGAAGGAAGCCCCGGCUAACUACGUGCCAGCAGCCGCGGUAAUACGUAGGGGGCAAGCGUUGUCCGGAAUGAUUGGGCGUAAAGGGCGCGUAGGCGGCCCGGUAAGUCUGAAGUGAAAGUCCUGCUUUUAAGGUGGGAAUUGCUUUGGAUACUGUCGGGCUUGAGUGCAGGAGAGGUAAGCGGAAUUCCCGGUGUAGCGGUGAAAUGCGUAGAGAUCGGGAGGAACACCAGUGGCGAAGGCGGCUUACUGGACUGUAACUGACGCUGAGGCGCGAAAGUGUGGGGAGCAAACAGGAUUAGAUACCCUGGUAGUCCACACUGUAAACGAUGAAUGCUAGGUGUAGGGGGUAUCGACCCCUUCUGUGCCGGAGUAAACACAAUAAGCAUUCCGCCUGGGGAGUACGGCCGCAAGGUUGAAACUCAAAGGAAUUGACGG